rnacentral:sRNA from 1 species
CUCUUUUUUCCCUGUUCUGUUUAAUUGGGCCAGUCUUAAAAAUCAUCUGGUUACUUUAUUUCAAGGUGGUGUUUAAUAUGUAAUAUUUUGAACUUAGGGUCAGAUAUAGAAAUGUUGGUUAAACUUUGAGGAGGAAAAGUACAAGUAGUUAAUAGAGUGAAAGAAGAUUUCCUUCUCACUGAUUGGAGAUUGUAAUGAAAUUUUAAGAAAGUAUGUUAAAAGAUGACUUAAAACUAAGCAGCAGUGAAGACAGUGAUGGGGAACAGGAUUGUGAUAAGACAAUGCCGAGGAGUACACCAGGAAGUAACUCUGAACCUUCACACCAUAAUAGUGAAGGAGCAGAUAACUCCAGGGAUGAUUCUAGUAGCCACAGUGGAUCUGAAAGCAGCUCUGGAUCUGACUCAGAGAGUGAAAGUAGUUCCAGUGACAGUGAGGCAAAUGAGCCAUCCCAGAGUGCAUCUCCCGAGCCUGAACCCCCGCCAACAAACAAAUGGCAACUUGAUAAUUGGCUGAAUAAAGUGAACCCACAUAAAGUGUCACCCGCCUCUUCAGUGGACAGUAACAUCCCAUCAUCUCAAGGCUACAAAAAGGAAGGCCGAGAGCAGGGCACUGGGAAUAGCUACACUGAUACAAGUGGACCUAAAGAAACGAGUUCCGCUACUCCGGGACGAGACUCCAAAACCAUCCAAAAGGGAUCAGAAAGUGGGCGUGGGAGGCAGAAAUCUCCUGCACAGAGUGACAGCACAACACAGAGAAGAACUGUAGGCAAAAAACAACCCAAAAAGGCUGAGAAGGCAGCUGCUGAAGAGCCUCGUGGAGGCCUGAAGAUAGAAAGUGAAACCCCUGUAGACUUGGCUAGCAGCAUGCCCUCCAGCAGACACAAAGCAGCCACCAAAG